rnacentral:rRNA from 1 species
UACGGAGGGUGCAAACGUUGCUCGGAAUCAUUGGGCGUAAAGGGUGCGUAGGCGGCGCGGUAAGUCGGGUGUGAAAUCUCGGAGCUUAACUCCGAAACUGCAUUCGAUACUGCCGUGCUUGAGGACUGGAGAGGAGACUGGAAUUUACGGUGUAGCGGUGAAAUGCGUAGAUAUCGUAAGGAAGACCAGUGGCGAAGGCGGGUCUCUGGACAGUUCCUGACGCUGAGGCACGAAGGUCAGGGGAGCAAACGGG